rnacentral:rRNA from 1 species
UUGUGAAUGCAGCCCAAAGUGGGUGGUAAACUCCANCAAGGCUAAAUACUGCACGAGUCCGAUAGCGAACAAGUACCGUGAGGGAAAGUUGAAAAGUACUUUGAAGAGAGAGUAAACAGUGCGUGAAACCGCUCAGAGGUAAACGGGUGGAGUUGAACUGCAAGCUCCGAGGAUUCAGCUGGUGAGAUUGGCAUGAGCUUGGUCAUGUGGGUUGUGUGUUCGGGUCUGCUUAGCUGCAGGUCCUCGCCUUUGGUGGGGAUGCGCGUAUCGCUUAUCAAGCGUUGUGCGCCCGGGCUUCUCGAGCCUUCUCGCUAGUGCACUUUCUCGGGGUGUUCACCACGACCGGCGUUGCUGUCUGGCUGGUGCGGUUAAACCGGUCUUGUAGGGUCCUUGUGGCCUUGCUUGGUCGGGAUGGCAGGUAGCCCGUUGUGUACUUCGGUGUGCUUCGGGUGUAAUAGCCGACUGCAUCGGUUCUGUGCGGUACGUCGGAGACGGCGGCUUGUUGUGCGUGCGGGCGUGCCUGUUGCGCUGGCGGCUCUGAGUCUGGUUGCCUUGUUGCUUGUAAAUGCAGGCCUAGUGAUGGCUCGGAGUCGUUUGGUGUGCGGUUGCGUUCGUGGCACUUUAAAGGGCCUAAAGUCUGUGGUGUAGUGGUAGACUAUCCACCUGACCCGUCUUGAAACACGGACCAAGGAGAGUAACAUGUGCGCGAGUCAUUGGGCGUUACGAAACCCAAAGGCGAAGUGAAAGUAAAGGUUCGGCUUGUCCGGACUGAGGUGAGAUCCUGUCGUUUCUCACGCCUGGUACUACCAAGCAUCGAGCGGCGGGCGCAUCACCGGCCCGUCCCAUGGCGUAGUGGCGGCCUCGUGCCUGCUCAUCGUCGGGGCGGAGCAUGAGCGUACAUGUUGAGACCCGAAAGAUGGUGAACUAUGCUUGCGCAGGUUGAAGCCAGAGGAAACUCUGGUGGAGGACCGCAGCGAUUCUGACGUGCAAAUCGAUCGUCAAACGUGAGUAUAGGGGCGAAAGACUAAUCGAACC